GCUCAGAAACUACAAAGGAAGUUGACGGGGGCCCGGCACAAGCGGUGGAGCAUGUGGUUUAAUUCGAUGAUACGCGAGGAACCUUACCUGGGCUCAAAUGUAUGUUGACGUAUUCUGAAAGGGAUACUUCUUCGGACAAUAUACAAGGUGCUGCAUGGUUGUCGUCAGCUCGUGCCGUGAGGUGUCGGGUUAAGUCCCAUAACGAGCGCAACCCCUAUCAUUAGUUGCCAUCAGGUCAAGCUGGGGACUCUAAUGAAACUGCCUACGCAAGUAGUGAGGAAGGUGGGGAUGACGUCAAAUCAGCACGGCCCUUACGUCCAGGGCUACACACGUGCUACAAUGGCCGGUACAAAGGGCAGCUACCUGGUGACAGGAUGCUAAUCUCAAAAGCCGGUCUCAGUUCGGAUCGGAGUCUGCAACCCGGCUCCGUGAAGCUGGAAUCGCUAGUAAUCGCGCAUCAGCCAUGGCGCGGUGAAUACGUUCCCGGGCCUU
rnacentral:rRNA from 1 species